AUUGAACGCUGGCGGCAUGCUUUACACAUGCAAGUCGAACGGGGUGAAGGGGCAACUCUUCAUUCAGUGGCGAACGGGUGAGUAAUACAUCGGAACGUACCCCGUAGUGGGGGAUAACUCGGCGAAAGCCGUGCUAAUACCGCAUAUGCUCUACGGAGGAAAGCAGGGGACCGCAAGGCCUUGUGCUAGUGGGGAGCGGCCGAUGUCCGAUUAGCUUGUUGGUGAGGUAAGGCUCACCAAGGCGACGAUCGGUAGCUGGUCUGAGAGGAUGAUCAGCCACACUGGGACUGAGACACGGCCCAGACUCCUACGGGAGGCAGCAGUGGGGAAUAUUGCACAAGUGGGCGGAAGCCUGAUGCAGCGACGCCGCGUGAGGGAUGACGGCCU
rnacentral:rRNA from 1 species